GUGAAUCAUCGAAUCUUUGAACGCACAUUGCACCUAGUGGUAUUCCGCUAGGUAUGCCUGUUCGAGCGUCAUUUCAGCCCUCGACACUGAUUUGUUUUAUGCGAAUUAGUGCCGGUGUUGGGGAACUGCAGCACCUCUAGUGUGAAUGCAAUCCCUGAAAUGCAACGGCGUGCGCGCUAUCGUGCUCUUUGCGUAGUGGUUUUUUAUUUCUCGCACCGAGUCGUAGCGCUGUACAGCCGCUAAAAAAAUCUAUUUCAGAAGCUUGACCUCGAAUCAGGUAGGGUUACCCGCUGAACUUAAGCAUAUCAAUAAGCGGAGGA
rnacentral:misc_RNA from 1 species